GAGGGGGAAUGAGAGGCUCUCCAUUGAAAGAAGCAGCAGGGGGUACUGAAACAGAGUAGAAGAGUGUGAAAGCUGGUGGGGUUUUUGUUGUUGUUGUUGCUUUUAGUCCUAAGUUGGUGGCAUGAAAACACUGCCCUGGAAGCAAUGGAGCAGCAAGUGCUCUACCCACAUGGAAGUCUUUGGGACCUGCACUUCAAUGAGCGCGGAGAGGAAAAGGAGCGAAGAACCAACACAACUGAAGCACCUACGAGCGUCAGGCACUGGCCCAGCUGCCGUGGAUCCCCCGAGUUGAAGGUCGUAUAACCUCAGCCUGCCCAAAUGAACCAAGCACACAACCACGGGGGAACCCAAGAGUUCCAGUGGGAGAGCUGGAAGAGCAGGGACCGAUGUGAGAAGUGGACACCAUAUGGCAGGACCCAGGAUCCAAUCAGACUGAGCCCUGGGGUCACCCCAUGGAGGGAUCCAGUUGGAUCAUGCCUCCUGGCAUCACCUACUGCAAGAUCCAAUCAGAUCACACCUCCUUACCCUAUGCUUAUAAAACCCCACCCAGCCCCCAGCCCGAGGAUACAGAUUUGAGUAUUUCCUCCUGUUUCCUUACCAGUCGAUG
rnacentral:lncRNA from 1 species